rnacentral:rRNA from 1 species
UAGGGAACCUUCGGCAAUGGGGGCAACCCUGACCGAGCAACGCCGCGUGAGUGAAGAAGGUUUUCGGAUCGUAAAGCUCUGUUGUAAGUCAAGAACGAGUGUGAGAGUGGAAAAUUCACACUGUGACGGUAGCUUACCAGAAAGGGACGGCUAACUACGUGCCAGCAGCCGCGGUAAUACGUAGGUCCCGAGCGUUGUCCGGAUUUAUUGGGCGUAAAGCGAGCGCAGGCGGUUUGAUAAGUCUGAAGUUAAAGGCUGUGGCUCAACCAUAGUUCGCUUUGGAAACUGUCAAACUUGAGUGCAGAAGGGGAGAGUGGAAUUCCAUGUGUAGCGGUGAAAUGCGUAGAUAUAUGGAGGAACACCGGUGGCGAAAGCGGCUCUCUGGUCUGUAACUGACGCUGAGGCUCGAAAGCGUGGGGAGCGAACAGGAUUAGAUACCCUGGUAGUCCACGCCGUAAACGAUGAGUGCUAGGUGUUGGAUCCUUUCCGGGAUUCAGUGCCGCAGCUAACGCAUUAAGCACUCCGCCUGGGGAGUACGACCGCAAGGUUG